UGUUCACCGGCGAUCCACAGUGUCGGCCAUCUUGUUACAACUGUGAGCUCUUCAGACAUGAGCUACCAGCAACUCACUUGAGAUUGGAUUCGCAAGGGAAGGAGUUAGUGAACAGUAGUGAAUCGUUGCUAUUGGUUGUGAGCCACUUUCAGUGACAUCUUGUUGCCAAAUUUAGAGUAAGGACUUUGAUCCGAGAUGAGCAUCUCGAUGUUAGAUCAUU